GACGAACGCUGGCGGCAUGCCUAACACAUGCAAGUCGAACGAGACCUUCGGGUCUAGUGGCGCACGGGUGCGUAACGCGUGGGAACCUGCCCUUAGGUUCGGAAUAACUCCCCGAAAGGGGUGCUAAUACCGGAUAAUGUCUUCGGACCAAAGAUUUAUCGCCUUUGGAUGGGCCCGCGUUGGAUUAGCUAGUUGGUAGGGUAAAAGCCUACCAAGGCGACGAUCCAUAGCUGGUCUGAGAGGAUGAUCAGCCACACUGGGACUGAGACACGGCCCAGACUCCUACGGGAGGCAGCAGUGGGGAAUAGUGGACAAUGGGCGAAAGCCUGAUCCAGCAAUGCCGCGUGAGUGAUGAAGGCCUUAGGGUUGUAAAGCUCUUUUACCCGGGAUGAUAAUGACAGUACCGGGAGAAUAAGCUCCGGCUAACUCCGUG
rnacentral:rRNA from 1 species